AAUGAAUUUAAUCCAUUUUAGAAUAAGGCUGUAACGUAACAAAAUGUGGAAAAAGUGAAGGGGUCUGAAUACUUUCUGAAUACACUGUAAAUGGCACCUGUGAAGUAAGAACAAGAAACAAGGAAUGGCUUUGUUUUGUACUGCAAUUGUUUGAUCUGAUUGGCAUUUGCAUCACCAUGCAUAUGUUAUGAUUCAGUGCCGUUAACCACUGGGUUAUAAUAUCCCAUCUGCAAACUCCAGCACUAUUAGAAUGUCUUGAGAACUUUUCAGACGCCAGGCAUAGGAAUUUUGGCAAGUUAGUAAAAAAGAGAAGUGCACAGUAUCUUGAAAAUGCCAAUUCUUGAAAAAAAAAAGAGAGGGAGCAUCAAAUCCUUCUGCUUCACAUAUUCCCACUUGCCAAACAAAUAUACCCUUUUCUAACUUUCUGUGUUCACCCGAGAGAUAAAUCUCACAGCUGGCUGUAUCAGACUAAUUAUUAUAGGUUCAUUUCUUCAAGGGCUUAUUUUUUUAUAUUCAUUAUUAAAAUUGAGAAAAUUGCCAUCAAAAUCAUGCUUUAUAAUUAAAUCUCUUGUGGUCAGUGCUAUGUGUAAUGUUGUCAGUGUUUCCCUGUAGUCUUGACAAGUCCUUAGUGGUGUUUCUCAGUUUUACACAAGGAAGGCGAUUCAUGUAUUAGCAUCAGAAGUGCCAAUAGAAAUGAGUAAACAGUUCAAACUAAAAGUUGGGAGUUUUGAUGUUAUAAUUUGAGAAUAGUAGGAUAAAGUAGUGGCCACUCUGAAUUCGAUUAGGAUUCACUGUCUGUAAAUUUAGCGAAUAACAAUAAUUAACCAAGACAAUAAAAUGCAAUUUAGGAACCAUUACUAAACUCCUAAACGAGAAGCCACUUAAGAUGCUCUUUGGAAUAAAUAGAUCUCCCUUACAAUGAAUGUAUAGCCAGAACAUCACUCCCAGAAUGUACUUCAUUAUGUUUACACCAAAUAAUUUCCCAUUGUACAGUGAAGAAUAUCCCAGCUUUAUACAUUCUCUAAAUGUUCACACUGUUAGUUUAAAAAAUAUCAAUAUUAUAAAGGUGAGUUUUUUUUAAACCCUGUUUUUUAUAAUAUCGAUUUGGUUUGUAGGACAUUCCAAACAUGAAAUUAAACAGAGUUUAUCUCGAUUUCUUCUGACCAAGUGGUAGUUGCUACCCAUCUACUCUCACAGCAUCAGAAGGUGAAAAUUGUCUUUAAUUUCUCUUACAUGCAUCUAGUGUUUGUAUUGGCUGUUAGUUGUCUUUGCUUCUACACACCAAGUCCCAUUGUCGAGGCGGGACCAUUAGCCGGCAAUACUGUUGCAUGUAUUUGACACCAUCAACUGAGGAUGAAGAUAAAAAGACUGCUAAAGAUUACAAUUAUCCAAAUUAGAAAUAAUGAUUGAAGUUUAAAGUUAUCAAAGCUCCAGAAUUCGUUUCCUGUAUAAUUUGGCUUAUUUCAUUUUAUUUGAGUCCCUUCACUCUUAUAAUUCAUGUUCAAUAAUGUUCAUGUAACCCUACCAAUACUCAGCAGUUUCAUCUUUUGUCCACUCUGUCACAUUAAAACCAAGAGUAGACUAGUUAAACAUCAACAAAAGCUUCAUUUUUUGUGGUUCCCGAGAGGGCAGAGUAAAUAUAUUGGAAUAUUUAGGCUUGGAGAAGACCAGAGAGAUGGGAUUUGAUCGCAAGAAGGAGAAUUAGAAAAUCAGGCCCUUUAUGGCGUAGGUGUAAGUAGAAGACCAUUGUAACAUUAGGUCAGCUCAGUCCAAAGGACCGCUGAAGAGAAAGAUAAUACUAAUGAAUUGUAACACUAAACCAGUCAGGAUGUUUCACUGUGAUAUUAAAUCAAUAGUUGGGCAUCCAACUAGUAUAGGCAUCCAAUGCCCCACUUUUACAAUACAAAAUACUGUAGUUUUUUUUCAGCUGCUCUGAAUCUGUGUGGUUCAAUUAUUAAGCAAUUUCCCAUUUCCUCCACUUACUGGAGCUGUUGAUCCUGGAGCGAAUGUUGAUUCCAGUCAGAUUUGCUUGGAAUUCCGACUAGGCCAUGGUCAAUCAUGAAUCCUAGGCUGUGCAAACUCACUUAAGAUAGCCAGUUCCUGCAAAGGGAAUCUAUAACCUAAACACGUUCAAAUAAAUUCUUGCAGCUAAACAAGAUAUCACCAUUGAAAAAUCUUCUUGUUAAUUUAAGUAUCCUUGUCAAGUUGAUGUUUUCAUUGAGUACUCCAUGUUGAGCAAAUGUUGAGUGUAACAUAUAAACCUGUUUAGUGUUAAAAGCUUCUGCCUGCUGCAUUAGAUUAAAAGUUAAUUUUGCAGAAUCUAAGUGCAGAAGUAAAUAAUAAAAAUUGAACUGUAAAUAGUUGUAUUGGGAACACAGUGAAUUAGUGUUUUAGCAAAUGUUCUGUAUUAUCAAUGUUUUGUAAGUAUUUUCAAUGUAAUUUCAUAUAAUGUAGCUUUCUAAUUUCUGCAAAAGUGCUUUUAUUUUUGUAUAUUGUAGUAUCAUUUCAUUAACUCUGUUUCAUGGCGGAUAAAAUGUAACUCCAUCAAUAAAUAUGCUUCUCAAGUCAGUAUAGUUGUAAAUGUGAUUGUGCAGAUAUGUUUUAGUAAAAGGACAACUUUAAUAACUAUUUCUUUACAAAUGUAAAACUAUUUUAAUGAAGCAAUUUGUUUCGGACCAAGUGUUAAUCAUGGAGUAAAAUCCAAUCUGGCGGUUGAAUUGGGUGUUCACACUGCCCAAUUUUCUUCCAUUGACUCUAAUAGAAAGCAAAAUUAGUUGAAGUGUGUAAUGAUUGGGAGUGUAAUGGACAAGGUUUAUAAUGGCCAGCGUCUUGCCACAGCUAUUUAUACCCUCAUCUAAGUUGCAUUUUACCCAAUUGUGUUUUAGAACUUUGUAUCAACUAGGACAGUAAAAAUUAUUUGUUAGACAAAUUAAAGGCAAUUUUGCUUCAUAUAACACAGGCUAUCUCAAUAACAUAUCAAUACAAAUGUAUAAAAACUUCAUUUCAGUCACAUGGUCAUUUUUUCGUGCAAAUGGCCACAACAUUCAGUUGCAUAUCUGAAAAGGUUAAAAGCCCGUCUUUGUUUAAUAUAUAGAUUAUAAACAGCAUUGCUCAAUUAUUAAUACAGUUAAAUUGGUUCAUGUAACAUCUUCAAAUAUUGUUCAGAUUUCUUACUACAAUACAUAAGGAUUCAAAGUCUUAAUUUUGGUCAUGCAAUAGUGAGAUCUUAGUACUCUGUAUCCAUAGCCUGUGAUUUAAAAAUUGAAUUGCUUGGAUUAUCAGCCCUGUGCUGCAGUGUAACAUUUAGCAGGAUUAUCUUUUUUAAAAAAAAUCAAAUUAAAACUUUAAUUUGCAGUGAGGCAGACAAAAGCAGUUUGUAUUUUCUCUGCUAUUACAUACAAGGUACAGUUAAUGUGAAACAUUUUAAUCAUAUGCUGUUGUCUUUGUCUUACAUGUGAUCUUUAAAUAUUAACGUAGCACGCUAAAACAAAAGGCAGAAAUUAAGGAAGUCAUUGGUGUGGUAUAUCUGUAAUGUUGCUAAUAAACCAAACUAAUAGCUA